rnacentral:misc_RNA from 1 species
CAGGUCUUUCCUUACCGUCCUAUGUCUUUCUUUUGAGUUGAUGCUGGUUGUCAUUUGACGAGAUGCAGGGUUUAUCUGUUUUUGUGGCGAUUUACUGUAUGUGUUGGAUUCCGGAUGAAUAUGCGACGCUUGAGGCUGCAGAGCCAAAACAUCCAUUCGCAGUAGCAAGAGAAGCUAUCCGCAGUCUGGACAAGGCACCUUCCUACCUCCACCUGGUGGAUUUUGGACCUCCAACUGGAAAGGGAAUAGUAGCAGGCAAAGACUUUUCUCCUGGUGAUUUUAUCACCUAUUAUCAUGGCAUACACAGUGCGCAGCAACCAGAGCUCAAUGAUCCUGACUACGACUUUCUAUUUAAGCUGAACUAUUACCACAACACCUUCUGGAUCGAUGCUUCCGAAGAGGAUGGGUCUUAUGGACGAUUUUUGAAUGAUGAUUGGAAGACUCCAAAUGCAAGAACAAGGGUGUUCUUUGUUGAUGGUCAGGCACACAUAGCCUUUCUUGCCCGCAGAUUCAUAAAAGCUGGUGAAGAGAUCCGAUUCAACUACAAACACGGGGCUACUACCUUCCCAUGGCGACAGCCGAAGAAGCAUCCGUUUGCAGAAGCAAGAGAAGCCAUCCGCAAUUCAGAUAUGUCACCGUCAUACCUCCGCGUAGUGGACUUCGGACCUCACAAAGGAAGGGGAAUAGUUGCGGGCAAGGAGUUUUCUCCUGGUGAUUUUAUCACCUAUUACCAUGGUAUACACAGUUCAGAGAAACCAGACCUGAAUGAUUUUGACCACGAUUAUCUCUUUAAACUGAACCAUUAUCGCAAAAGUUUUUGGAUUGAUGCUUCCGAAGAGGAUGGGUCUUAUGGACGACUUUUGAAUGAUGAAUGGAUUACCCCAAAUGCACGACCAAGAGUUUUCUUUGUUGAUGGAGAAGCACACAUAGCCUUUCUUGCCCGCAGAUUCAUAAAAGCUGGUGAAGAGAUCCGAUUCAAUUACAAACACGGGGCUACUACCUUCCCAUGGCGACAGGUUCGUUAUGAAAAAUGAAGAAGAAGCAACUGAAAACAGAGGACAGAGAAGCCAACCGAAGUUCUGACAUACCCCCUUCAUACCUCCAUGAAAAAUCACAGAAAACAUGGACGCAUCCUCAGUCAAAGAGAAGAACGUGGUUAGAUCUUCUGA